rnacentral:lncRNA from 1 species
CCACUUUCAAAUAUUUAUCAGGUGACGGGACUACUCCCAUUCCAAUAAUAUUCGUAGGAAAGUCUCGUUUGGGUGUAGUAUCGCGUAUCAACCAAUUCAAGACUACUCUUGAUUAGCCACCGCACUACGUCCUAAAAGGCCAAGAUGGGUUAAUGGUAACUAAAGGUCCUCAACAUCGACGGUCACUUGAAAAUAUAAUGCCAACACGACUACUCAUGCCAACAUAAAUUACUUCCAAGAUCCCUCCAUUGAGUGGGGUUAUACCACAU